rnacentral:rRNA from 1 species
AUGAAGAGUGACUGCAAAAACAAGGUGUGCUGUGUGGUUUGUCAGAGGCCAUCUCACAAUACUGAGGAAUGCACUGUGUUAAAACAAGCCAAACCAGUUGCUAAGUAUGUUGGAUAUGGAGCUAGGGGGUUGGGAUGUCUUCUGGUUCAGAACACAAAUGUCAUUGUAGCUGCUGAACACAUAAAUUCUAUGGCCUUGGUUAAUGUGCAUGAUGGGCAACUGAAUGAAACCACUGUGGCAUAUGGAUUCAGCAAGAUGUUUGAUUGGGGGUGGACCUGGAGAGCCAAAUUUCAGUCCUAA